rnacentral:ncRNA from 1 species
CCCUGUCUACUAUCCAGCGAAACCACAGCCAAGGGAACGGGCUUGGCAGAAUCAGCGGGGAAAGAAGACCCUGUUGAGCUUGACUCUAGUCCGACUUUGUGAAAUGACUUGAGAGGUGUAGUAUAAGUGGGAGCUUCGGCGCAAGUGAAAUACCACUACUUUUAACGUUAUUUUACUUACUCCGUGAAUCGGAGACGGGGUGUUACCCCUCUUUUUGGACCCAAGGCUUGCUUCGGCGGGCCGAUCCG